UUGUGUAUGUACAUGAAUAUAUAUAUGUUUGUCUGUCUAUUUUUUUGGUUGCUGGAAAGGUUCAAGAUUGGCAUAUAAUACUCUAAUUAGCAUGGCACUUUUUCAAUCAUUUACUGCAGCGAACUAUGUUGCUGCCCUGUGUCUUAGGUGAGGCAAAAUAUUAAAUAAAAAAAUAAUCCAUGUAUAUUUGGUAUAUAUCUAAGUUACGUGCUAGAAAGUCAGAAUACCUUUUUGGAAAAAUACUCGCAUGACAUGCUGACCACACAAGCAAUUGAAAUUGGAUGGAGCCGGGUUAAGCUGCGUUUGGAUGUGUACUAGAUUCUAAAGCUUGUCCAAAAAGGUGCUGAGCCUGUUAAAACGGUGGGAAAUGACAACCAAGGGCUUCCAAUAGGAAUGCAACUGAUUGGCAGUCCAUGGCCAGAUGCAUCAAUUUUACGUUUGGCUUCUGCAGUAGAGGUUGUACUUUAUAAUGGCACCAAAGAAGAACUUGCGAGGUCAACCGAAGAAGGGAGAUAAGAAGGUGGAAAGCAAGAGACGCGGUGGUAGCACAUCAGCACCCGACUCUAAGCAUCGACGAACUACUAGGUAGAAAUCCAAAGCAGAGACAGAAAGCACCAAACUUCGAGGGCACGUUCCACUUUCCUCUCCCCCAUCUGAGAUGCCCAUCAACACUCCAAAGGAACAGAUCUUUCAGGAUGCCAAUAUAUUUAAAGUUAGGGCACAUUCAUUCGGGAAUCCAAUAGAAGUGAACAAAGUAAUUACAAGUGUCCCCACAAGUGAGCAGCUAGAAAAGUAUAGACAAACAUGUUUUGGACACUUACUUGACAUGAAGAACCUCAGAACCUCAGGUUCUCUGGUCAGCUAGUGCAUCACCUGCUUUGCAAACGAGUUGUGUCCAUCAAUCCAAAAGUACUGGAGUUUAACCUCAGCGGAUCUGGAAUGCGGUUUACAAAGUGGGAAUUCGCACUCAUUAGUGGCUUAAAGUUUUGUAGGUACCCUUCCAUGUAUGAUAUGCAAAUUUCCAAAGGAAAGGAGCUGGUCACGAGGUUGCUAGAUGACAGGAAUGACUUGAAACCCCCCGAACUGGAAUGAAUAUUCAAGGGUACACAUUUUGUGGAUGAUUGGGAUGCUGUAAGAAUUGCAGAAAAAU